rnacentral:tRNA from 1 species
AGUUAAUUAACCUAAUUGCAGGUAUAUGUUUUGAAAGCAUAAUAUAGAAGUUAAAUUCUUCUAUUAACUU